UCCGCGUCGAGCGUCGACAUUAAUCGGUUUAGUACACGGCCGUCGCCCGGCAAACAUAGUCACGUGUUUCGUUUCACAAAAAUGUCACACAUAGAAUUUUCUAUAGACAGAUUAAUAAAAGAGGUUCAAAGUCGUAGAUUGCUGUACGAUACAAGUCUUGUGGAAUACCGAGAUGUUAAGGCGAAAGAGAGAGAAUGGGUAGAAGUGUGCCGUGAAUUGUCAAAAACGAACGACGAAAUAAGUGAUUGGGAUGACCUAAGCGAGACAGAGAAGACAGAUUUCCUUAUUGAAGCUAAGAAGAAGUGGACUUCACUGCGCGACUGUUUCAAACGGGAGCAGAAAUUGUAUCAAAAAAAUAUUCACAACAAGAAAAAAUACCUGUUUUUUGACAAACUAAAAUUCCUAGAACCCUACAGCCGUAGUCGUGGAUCUAUCAAGAAUACAACACAAACAGCGGACCGUGAUAUAUUACACGAAGAAGUUUUUAUAAACAAUGAUGCUAUUAAACCCGAGAUCGCAAGCGACGAUUCCAAUGAAGUAAUUGAAGAUAAAAUAGUGGAAAUCAAAACUAACACAAACAAUACAAUUAAAAUAUUAACACCACAAGAGAUAUCAAGAAUUAGAGGGAAAAACUUUGUCUUAAUAGAUAAUGCGGAGCGAAAAGCGUUUGGAAAUGACGAUAAUCGUAAAAGAAAGAGAGAGGCGGAUAAAAAUAAUGAUAAUUAUGAAAAGAACAAGAUGAUAAUAAGAGAAUAUGAGUGUGGUGAAUUCUCUGGCUGUAGUGAACCCAAAAAAGACGUGGAAAGUGUAAAAAUUGAUGGACUCGACGACGAUCAAGCGUUUUUGAAGUCUAUUCUGCCAACGUUCAAAGCGCUGACAACAGAACAAAAGUUUCGAUUGAGAAUCGAAAUUAUGCAAACUAUUCUGAAGUUCAAAGUGGAUAAUAAAAUUUUUAAUUAAAUUUUACCUUUAUAUAUCGAUAAAGAUCAAAAAUACCUUGACAAAAGGGUUAUUUAAUUACUCGCAUUUGUCAAUUUAAUGAAAAUAGAGUUUUCCGGUUAAAAAUAAUUAGGUCGGUACACCUAUUUUGCAUAAAUUUGCAUGGUAAUAGAAAAAUAAAACAUGAUGUGACAAAUCCAAUGGUAAAAAACAUUUAUUUUUUAUUCUACAUAUCCAUCCAUAUGUUUAUGCAUAUUAAAUGUAGGAUUUCGACUGUUUCCAAAUAAUUGUUUUUCAUGAAGUUUUGUAACAA